GUAGGUGGCAAGCGUUGUCCGGAAUUAUUGGGCGUAAAGCGCGCGCAGGUGGUUCGUUUAAGUCUGAUGUGUAAGACCCCCCGGGCUCAACCGGGGAGGGGUCAUUGGAAACUGGGGAACUUGAGUGCAGGAGAGGAAAGUGGAAUUCCACGUGUAGCGGUGAAAUGCGUAGAUAUGUGGAGGAACACCAGUGGCGAAGGCGACUUUCUGGCCUGUAACUGACACUGAGGCGCGAAAGCGUGGGGAGGCAAACAGGAUUAGAUACCCCUGGUAGUCCACGCCGUAAACGAUGAGUGCUAAGUGUUGGGGGGGUUUCCGCCCCUCAGUGCUGCAGCUAACGCAUUAAGCACUCCGCCUGGGGAGUACGGUCGCAAAGACUG
rnacentral:rRNA from 1 species